rnacentral:rRNA from 1 species
GGAAUAGCCCAAACCGUUGCCGUUUCGGCGACAGCGGGGUCAUGGGACCGCGAUACUCGACGAAAGACGAAGUGCAAUUACCUGGAAAGGUAAGCCGUGGAGGGUGACAGCCCCGUGCACGACACCUCCAUCUAAGAUAGCGGAAUCCCGAGUAGGGCGGGACACGAGAAAUCCUGCCUGAAUUCGCCAGGACCUCCUGGCAAGGCUAAAUACUCCCGAGAGACCGAUAGUGAACCAGUACCGCGAGGGAAAGGUGAAAAGUACCCCGAGCAGGGGGGUGAAAUAGACCCUGAACCCGCGCGCCUACAAGCGGUCGGAGCCAUGAAAUAUGGUGACGGCGUGCCUUUUGCAUAAUGAGCCUACGAGUUAGUCGUCACCAGCGAGGUUAAGGGCUUCAGGCCCGUUAGCCGAAGUGAAAGCGAGCCUUAACAGGGCGUCGAGUUGGUGGCGCUAGACGCGAAACCUUGUGAUCUACCCACGAGCAGGUUGAAGUCGCGGUAACACGUGAUGGAGGACCGAACCGGUAAACGUUGAAAAGUUUUCGGAUGACUCGCGGGUAGGGGUGAAAGGCCAAUCAAACUGGGAAAUAGCUCGUACUCUCCGAAAUGCAUUUCGGUGCAGCCUGUGAUGUUCUGUUCCAGAGGUAGAGCUACUGGUUGGACGCGAGGGCUUCACCGCCUAUCAAAUCCGGAUAAACUCCGAAUGCUGGAACACGAAAUCAUGGAGUGAGCCCGCGGGUGCUAAGGUCCGCGGACGAGAGGGAAAGAACCCGGACCACCGGCUAAGGUCCCGGAUGGACAGUUAAGUUGAUCAAACGAGGUGGGAUCGCGGAGACAGCUAGGAUGUUGGCUUGGAAGCAGCCAUUCAUUUAAAGAGUGCGUAACAGCUCACUAGUCGAGCGAUCCCGCGUGGAUAAUACACGGGCAUCAAACUGUCAACCGAAGCCGUGGGGUUAGUUAAUGACUAACCGGUAGGAGAGCAUUCCUGCCAGCUUAGAAGGUCACCCGCGAGAGUGACUGGAGCGGCAUGAAAAGCAAAUGUAGGCAUAAGUAACGAUAAUGGGGGCGAGAACCCCCCACGCCGCAAGACCAAGGAUUCCCCGGCAAUGUCAAUCAGCCGGGGGUCAGCCGGCCUCUAAGGCUCACCCGAGGGGGGAUGCCGACGAGAAACGGGUUAACAUUCCCGUGCUUCUCGUCACCGUGACGCGGUGACGGGGUGAUGAAUGGACCGCGCGCUGACGGAAUAGCGCGUUGAAGGCCGUACCCUAUGACGGUGGUAGUCAAGCACGCCACCCGAGGCGAGAGCCGAUAGUACCACGAGACCCCGGUCGAGUGGAUAGCGUCCAGGCAAUUUACCCCCUAGAAAACCCGCUAAACUUCAAGUGACGAGGAACCGUACUGUAAACGGACACACGUGGUCGGGUAGAACAUACCAAGGCGCUCGAGUGAUUCAUGGUCAAGGAACUAGGCAAAAUAGUCCUGUAACUUCGGGAAAAAGGACGCUCUAGUGAUAGAGCCGCAGAGUAAUGGCCCAGGCGACUGUUUACCAAAAACACAUGGCUAUGCCAAAUCGAAAGAUGACGUAUAUGGCCUGACACCUGCCCGGUGCCGGAAGGUUAAGAGGAGAGCUCAUCCGCGAGGAGAAGGUUUGAAUUGAAGCCCCGGUAAACGGCGGCCGUAACAAUAACGGUCCUAAGGUAGCGAAAUUCCUUGUCGGGUAAGUUCCGACC